rnacentral:lncRNA from 1 species
AGCUUUCCUAACUUUAUCCCUGUUUGCUUGGACAAUGUCUCUGUAUUCCUUCCUUGUUUUACAGAAUCACAGAAUCACAGAAUGGGCAGGGUUGGAAGGGACCUCUGAAGAUCAUCCAGUCCAACCACCCUGACGAGCAGGAUCACCUAGUGCACAUUGCGCAGGAUGGCAUCCAGGUGGGUUUUGAGUAUCUCCAGAGACGGAGACUCCACAACCUCCCAAUUUUUCUCAUAUUCAGCUGGAACUUCCUAUGCUUUAAUUUGUGCUCAUUGCCUCUCAUCCUGUCACUAGGCACAACUGAAAAGAGAGUUUCCACCUUCUGUAGUCCUCCUUAUUCUGUUUGAGUUUGGCCAGGACCUCCUCCUUCUAGCCAUAAUUUAAUGGAGUGUGUCAACACAGGGAUAGCUAAGCACCUAAACAGAUCAGCUACAGUGAUCACGCAUAGAGCACUCCUAGCACAGAUGGGCUGCUUCUGGGACCCGCUGCACAACACCAUGAGCUCCUUAUCAUUCACAGGUACUGCUGCAUGUGUCCUCCGCUGGUGCAGCUUCUGUGUCCUCUCCAACAGGUUUCAGAACUAUAUGUAGAACUAUUCAGGCAUUUUGUAAAGAAUUAGUUGUAAAAAGUUAAUCAAAAGUGAAAUGUUCACAGAAAGCAGCAAAAAAAAUGACAUUUCAAGAUAUAAGGUAUAUUUUUAGGAAAGUAUUUGAAUAAAGGAAAAUAUUUCCUAUCA